rnacentral:tRNA from 1 species
GAGAUUGUAGUUCAAUUGGUCAGAGCACCGCCCUGUCAAGGCGGAAGCUGCGGGUUUGAGCCCUGUCAGUCUCG